rnacentral:rRNA from 1 species
ACGAACGCUGGCGGCGUGCUUAACACCUGCAAGUCGAACGGAAAGGCCCUGCUUUUGUGGGGUACUCGAGUGGCGAACGGGUGAGUAACACGUGAGUAACCUGCCCUUGACUUUGGGAUAACUUCAGGAAACUGGGGCUAAUACCGGAUAGGAGCUCCUGCUGCAUGGUGGGGGUUGGAAAGUUUCGGCGGUUGGGGAUGGACUCGCGGCUUAUCAGCUUGUUGGUGGGGUAGUGGCUUACCAAGGCUUUGACGGGUAGCCGGCCUGAGAGGGUGACCGGCCACAUUGGGACUGAGAUACGGCCCAGACUCCUACGGGAGGCAGCAGUGGGGAAUAUUGCACAAUGGGCGGAAGCCUGAUGCAGCAACGCCGCGUGCGGGAUGACGGCCUUCGGGUUGUAAACCGCUUUCGCCUGUGACGAAGCGUGAGUGACGGUAAUGGGUAAAGAAGCACCGGCUAACUACGU